GAGCGAACGCUGGCGGCGUGCUUAACACAUGCAAGUCGAGCGAGAAAGGGGGCUUCGGCCCCUGAGUACAGCGGCGAACGGGUGCGUAAUACAUGAGUAAUCUACCCUUGAGGCGGGAAUAACCCAGCGAAAGUUGGGCUAAUACCGGAUAAGACCACAAGAGGAGACUCUAGGGGUUAAAGGCAGCUCUCUUUUGGGGGCGGUCCUUUGAGGAGGAGCUCAUGUCCUAUCAGCUAGUUGGUAGGGUAACGGCCUACCAAGGCGAAGACGGGUAGCUGGUCUUAGAGGAUGAUCAGCCACACGGGGACUGAGACACGGCCCCGACUCCUACGGGAGGCAGCAGUGGGGAAUAUUGGGCAAUGGGGGAAACCCUGACCCAGCGACGCCGCGUGGGUGAUGAAGGCCUUCGGGUCGUAAAGCCCUGUCGGGAGGAAAGAACGAUCUUGUGGUAAAUAUCCACGAGAUGUGACGGUACCUCCGAAGGAAGCACCGGCCAAUUCCGUGCCAGCAGCCGCGGUAAGACGGAAGGUGCAAGCGUUGCUCGGAAUCACUGGGCGUAAAGGGUGCGUAGGCGGCUUCUUAAGUCCGGUGUGAAAGCCCAGGGCUCAGCUCUGGAAGUGCACUAGAAACUGGGAAGCUUGAGUACCGGAGGGGAGAGUGGAAUUCCUGGUGUAGCGGUGAAAUGCGUAGAUAUCAGGAGGAAUACCGGUGGCGAAAGCGAUGCACUGGGCCUCUUCUGACGCUGAGGCGCGAAAGCCAGGGGAGCGAACGGGAUUAGAUACCCCGGUAGUCCUGGCCAU
rnacentral:rRNA from 1 species